CGUAGCUAGAAGACUCGGCACUGACUACUAUGCUUUCUGAAAACAUAUGAAGAUAGGAAUAACGUAAUUGGAGUUGUAUGGAAACCAAAAUAUGGCUACUAUAACACAAUUGCACGAAGAGGUAAUUACUAUUAUUUUGGAAAACAAAACCAUCACCAUGGAGGAUAUUGUGAACUUUAAGUACACGUGUAAGAGAUUUUGGCAAAUAACAUUAACUU